AACGGUCGGCGCGGCCUGCCACGAGGGAGCGUCCGCGGCCCGCGCAGAGCCGCGCACCAAGCCGAUGGCGGUGGACGCAGCAGGGCCCCGCGGUCUGAGUGCGGGCAGGCGCGCGUGGGCGUGUCUCCCUGGCCCACGCGUGUCCCCGGCAUCAGUGUCUCGGCUCUGGUCCAGGACGAAGACUUCUGAAAGCGAGCCAAGGAGCACAGGAUGUUUCUUGGCUUCAAACCAUUUGGAUAAGUGAUGGCAGCAAGCUUCGCCACUGUAAAGUCACCUCUUUGUAAGAAGACAGGAGCUCUUUGUAAAGAAUAUGAGACCUGAGGCUGGGGGAUGGCUGAGAAGGGAAAAGCACCUCUGCACAAGCGUGAGAAAAGGAGUUUGUUCUUCCACAUCCAUGUAGAAAUCUUGAUGCCGUGCCGUGAACCCCAGCUCUCCUACGGGAAGAUGGGAGGCGUAGACAGGAGUUCAUCUGGAAGCUUGAGGCCAGCCACCCAGAUCCUCAGAGCUGCAGACAAAAGAGAGGCCCUGCAGCAAAAGAGUGGAAGGUGAGAACCAACUCCGGAAAGUUGCCCUCUGACCUUUACAAGUGUAUACAUCCACACACAUACAAUAAAAUCAAUUGCUCAAUCACGUA
rnacentral:lncRNA from 1 species